UACAGAGGGUGCAAGCGUUGUUCGGAAUUACUGGGCGUAAAGGGCGCGUAGGCGGCCUGCUAAGUCGAACGUGAAAUCCCCGAGCUCAACUCGGGAACUGCGUCCGAUACUGGCAGGCUUGAAUCCGGGAGAGGGAUGCGGAAUUCCAGGUGUAGCGGUGAAAUGCGUAGAUAUCUGGAGGAACACCGGUGGCGAAGGCGGCAUCCUGGACCGGCAUUGACGCUGAGGCGCGAAAGCCAGGGGAGCAAACGGG
rnacentral:rRNA from 1 species